rnacentral:rRNA from 1 species
UUUUCCAUAACUCUGAGGUGCGAAGUGGUUCUGACCUUUUGGUACAGAGAAGUCAUUGAUGCCCGGCUUCCAGGAAAAGCUGCUAGCCAUAACUUAUAGAGAACCGUACCGCAAACCGACACAGGUGGACAGGUAGAGAAUACUAAGGCGCUUGAGAGAACUCGGGUGAAGGAACUAGGCAAAAUGGUACCGUAACUUCGGGAGAAGGUACGCCCUUUCUGGUGAUGGGAUUUACUUUCAGAGCUGGAGAGGGCCGCAGAGACCAGGUGGCUGCGACUGUUUAUUAAAAACACAGCACUCUGCAAAUUCGUAAGAAGACGUAUAGGGUGUGACGCCUGCCCGGUGCCGGAAGGUUAAUUGAUGGGGUUAUCUUCGGAGAAGCUCUUGAUCGAAGCCCCGGUAAACGGCGGCCGUAACUAUAACGGUCCUAAGGUAGCGAAAUUCCUUGUCGGGUAAGUUCCGACCUGCACGAAUGGCGUAACGAUGGCCACACUGUCUCCACCCGAGACUCAGUGAAAUUGAAAUCGCUGUGAAGAUGCAGUGUACCCGCGGCUAGACGGAAAGACCCCGUGAACCUUUACUAUAGUUUUGCACUGGACUUUGAUGAUGACUGUGUAGGAUAGGUGGGAGGCUGUGAAGUGAGGACGCUAGUUCUCAUGGAGCCGCCCUUGAAAUACCACCCUGUUGUUAUUGAGGUUCUAACUUGGUCCAGUAAUCCUGGAUGAGGACAGUGUAUGAUGGGUAGUUUGACUGGGGCGGUCUCCUCCCAAAGAGUAACGGAGGAGCACAAAGGUACCCUCGGUACGGUCGGACAUCGUACCAAGAGUGUAAAGGCAAAAGGGUGCUUGACUGCGAGAGUGACGGCUCGAGCAGGAACGAAAGUUGGUCUUAGUGAUCCGGUGGUUCUGAAUGGAAGGGCCAUCGCUCAACGGAUAAAAGGUACUCCGGGGAUAACAGGCUGAUACCGCCCAAGAGUUCAUAUCGACGGCGGUGUUUGGCACCUCGAUGUCGGCUCAUCACAUCCUGGGGCUGAAGCAGGUCCCAAGGGUAUGGCUGUUCGCCAUUUAAAGUGGUACGCGAGCUGGGUUUAGAACGUCGUGAGACAGUUCGGUCCCUAUCUGCCGUGGGCGUAGGAAAAUUGAGAGGAGCUGCUCCUAGUACGAGAGGACCGGAGUGGACGAACCUCUGGUGCACCGGUUGUCACGCCAGUGGCAUGGCCGGGUAGCUAAGUUCGGACGGGAUAACCGCUGAAAGCAUCUAAGCGGGAAGCCUCCCUCAAGAUGAGUUUUCCCAUGAAGCCCGUUGAAGACUACGACGUUGAUAGGCAAGGUGUGGAAGCGCAGUAAUGCGUGAAGCUAACUUGUACUAAUUGGCUGAUUGUCUUGACCAUAUAA